CCAAAUUAGUGUCUUUACCAAGGUGAUUCUCCUUAGGUAUAUAUUUUUCCUCAUUUCUGACUAGAAUGUGUAAAGGGAAGAGGUACUUGGUUCACAAUUUGGUGUGCACAUAUGUUACUGGUGGAAUUACUGUUCACACAUAUUGGGCAAUGUGUAUUUCUGAUGCUGGAAUUUUAACACAUUUUGUAGAUUUACUUGUGUAAAAUUGAAACUCUUUGACUCUGUUCUUCAGUGUGCUAUGGGAAAUGUAAUAUUCAAACAUCUCUCUGAAAUUAUAAUUUUGAUGGAAAGUUGAAGAUCUUCCUAAGAUAGCCAAAGGCUGUGAAGACCCAGGAGUUCCCACGAAAGAGAAGAGGAUGCGUCCACAAUUGCCCAGGGCUGGAUAUGCUAUCGGUCUUUCCAACCCAUGGAUGCAUAAGACUUCAAGUAAACAACAGGCAGAGUUGGAGCUAAAGAAUUCUUACAUAAUUAUCUUCUCAUUGGAAGAAACCAUUCAUACAUAAAGUAUUCCUAUUUCCUUAGUAGUUUAUUAUUCCUUAGUAUGAAUUAUAUGAUUUUCGAUUAUGUAAAUUGUUCUACAAGAGGAGAUAUGUUUUAAACACAGUAAGCUAUGAAUACCUAAAUUGUUAUAGCCUUUCACCAUAAUAAAACAAUUAAAAUUUAAAUUAAAGCACAAUGAAA